rnacentral:misc_RNA from 1 species
UCGCGGCUUAUCACCGGCAGUCCCCUUAGAGUGCCCAACUGAAUGCUGGCAACUAAGGGCGAGGGUUGCGCUCGUUGCGGGACUUAACCCGACAUCUCACGAUACGAGCUGACGACAGCCAUGCAGCACCUGUCUCUCUGUCCCCGAAGGGAAAGUCGUAUCUCUACGGUUGUCAGAGGAUGUCAAACCCAGGUAAGGUUCUUCGCGUUGCAUCGAAUUAAACCACAUGCUCCACCGCUUGUGCGGGCCCCCGUCAAUUCCUUUGAGUUUUAACCUUGCGGCCGUACUUCCCAGGCGGGGUACUUAAUGCGUUAGCGUCGGCACUGCAGGGGUCAAUUCCCGCAACACCUAGUACCCAUCGUUUACGGCGUGGACUAC